AGAGUUUGAUCAUGGCUCAGGAUGAACGCUGGCGGCGUGCCUAACACAUGCAAGUCGAACGAAGCGCCUGAUCAGAUUUCUUCGGAAUGAAGAUUUUGCGACUGAGUGGCGGACGGGUGAGUAACGCGUGGGCAACCUGCCUCAUACAGGGGGAUAACAGCCGGAAACGGCUGCUAAUACCGCAUAAGCGCACAGGACCGCAUGGUCCGGUGUGAAAAACUCCGGUGGUAUGAGAUGGGCCCGCGUCUGAUUAGCCAGUUGGCGGGGCAGCGGCCCACCAAAGCGACGAUCAGUAGCCGACCUGAGAGGGUGACCGGCCACAUUGGGACUGAGACACGGCCCAAACUCCUACGGGAGGCAGCAGUGGGGAAUAUUGCACAAUGGGGGAAACCCUGAUGCAGCGACGCCGCGUGAGCGAAGAAGUAUUUCGGUAUGUAAAGCUCUAUCAGCAGGGAAGAAGAAAGUGACGGUACCUGACUAAGAAGCACCGGCUAAAUACGUGCCAGCAGCCGCGGUAAUACGUAUGGUGCAAGCGUUAUCCGGAUUUACUGGGUGUAAAGGGAGCGCAGGCGGUACGGCAAGUCUGAUGUGAAAGCCCGGGGCUCAACCCCGGUACUGCAUUGGAAACUGUCGGACUAGAGUGUCGGAGGGGUAAGCGGAAUUCCUAGUGUAGCGGUGAAAUGCGUAGAUAUUAGGAGGAACACCAGUGGCGAAGGCGGCUUACUGGACGACAACUGACGCUGAGGCUCGAAAGCGUGGGGAGCAAACAGGAUUAGAUACCCUGGUAGUCCACGCCGUAA
rnacentral:rRNA from 1 species